rnacentral:rRNA from 1 species
GGGUUGUGAGGUUAAGCGACUAAGCGUACACGGUGGAUGCCCUGGCAGUCAGAGGCGAUGAAGGACGUGCUAAUCUGCGAUAAGCGUCGGUAAGGUGAUAUGAACCGUUAUAACCGGCGAUUUCCGAAUGGGGAAACCCAGUGUGUUUCGACACACUAUCAUUAACUGAAUCCAUAGGUUAAUGAGGCGAACCGGGGGAACUGAAACAUCUAAGUACCCCGAGGAAAAGAAAUCAACCGAGAUUCCCCCAGUAGCGGCGAGCGAACGGGGAGCAGCCCAGAGCCUGAAUCAGUGUGUGUGUUAGUGGAAGCGUCUGGAAAGGCGCGCGAUACAGGGUGACAGCCCCGUACACAAAAAUGCACAUGCUGUGAGCUCGAUGAGUAGGGCGGGACACGUGGUAUCCUGUCUGAAUAUGGGGGGACCAUCCUCCAAGGCUAAAUACUCCUGACUGACCGAUAGUGAACCAGUACCGUGAGGGAAAGGCGAAAAGAACCCCGGCGAGGGGAGUGAAAAAGAACCUGAAACCGUGUACGUACAAGCAGUGGGAGCACGCUUAGGCGUGUGACUGCGUACCUUUUGUAUAAUGGGUCAGCGACUUAUAUUCUGUAGCAAGGUUAACCGAAUAGGGGAGCCGAAGGGAAACCGAGUCUUAACUGGGCGUUAAGUUGCAGGGUAUAGACCCGAAACCCGGUGAUCUAGCCAUGGGCAGGUUGAAGGUUGGGUAACACUAACUGGAGGACCGAACCGACUAAUGUUGAAAAAUUAGCGGAUGACUUGUGGCUGGGGGUGAAAGGCCAAUCAAACCGGGAGAUAGCUGGUUCUCCCCGAAAGCUAUUUAGGUAGCGCCUCGUGAAUUCAUCUCCGGGGGUAGAGCACUGUUUCGGCAAGGGGGUCAUCCCGACUUACCAACCCGAUGCAAACUGCGAAUACCGGAGAAUGUUAUCACGGGAGACACACGGCGGGUGCUAACGUCCGUCGUGAAGAGGGAAACAACCCAGACCGCCAGCUAAGGUCCCAAAGUCAUGGUUAAGUGGGAAACGAUGUGGGAAGGCCCAGACAGCCAGGAUGUUGGCUUAGAAGCAGCCAUCAUUUAAAGAAAGCGUAAUAGCUCACUGGUCGAGUCGGCCUGCGCGGAAGAUGUAACGGGGCUAAACCAUGCACCGAAGCUGCGGCAGCGACGCUUAUGCGUUGUUGGGUAGGGGAGCGUUCUGUAAGCCUGUGAAGGUGUGCUGUGAGGCAUGCUGGAGGUAUCAGAAGUGCGAAUGCUGACAUAAGUAACGAUAAAGCGGGUGAAAAGCCCGCUCGCCGGAAGACCAAGGGUUCCUGUCCAACGUUAAUCGGGGCAGGGUGAGUCGACCCCUAAGGCGAGGCCGAAAGGCGUAGUCGAUGGGAAACAGGUUAAUAUUCCUGUACUUGGUGUUACUGCGAAGGGGGGACGGAGAAGGCUAUGUUGGCCGGGCGACGGUUGUCCCGGUUUAAGCGUGUAGGCUGGUUUUCCAGGCAAAUCCGGAAAAUCAAGGCUGAGGCGUGAUGACGAGGCACUACGGUGCUGAAGCAACAAAUGCCCUGCUUCCAGGAAAAGCCUCUAAGCAUCAGGUAACAUCAAAUCGUACCCCAAACCGACACAGGUGGUCAGGUAGAGAAUACCAAGGCGCUUGAGAGAACUCGGGUGAAGGAACUAGGCAAAAUGGUGCCGUAACUUCGGGAGAAGGCACGCUGAUAUGUAGGUGAGGUCCCUCGCGGAUGGAGCUGAAAUCAGUCGAAGAUACCAGCUGGCUGCAACUGUUUAUUAAAAACACAGCACUGUGCAAACACGAAAGUGGACGUAUACGGUGUGACGCCUGCCCGGUGCCGGAAGGUUAAUUGAUGGGGUUAGCGCAAGCGAAGCUCUUGAUCGAAGCCCCGGUAAACGGCGGCCGUAACUAUAACGGUCCUAAGGUAGCGAAAUUCCUUGUCGGGUAAGUUCCGACCUGCACGAAUGGCGUAAUGAUGGCCAGGCUGUCUCCACCCGAGACUCAGUGAAAUUGAACUCGCUGUGAAGAUGCAGUGUACCCGCGGCAAGACGGAAAGACCCCGUGAACCUUUACUAUAGCUUGACACUGAACAUUGAGCCUUGAUGUGUAGGAUAGGUGGGAGGCUUAGAAGUGUGGACGCCAGUCUGCAUGGAGCCGAC